UAUUAUUACUAUUGUUAGCCUACUUUUGCCCUCCCUUGUGGAACCCCUGGCGACCUCAAUGACAGAUAUGCUCAUAUGCUGCCUCCAACCUCAGUCCCCACCAGGCUCAAGCUCCAACAGCGGUUGUCCAUGUGCUCACUGAGUUUCCUCAGGUAAAACUCGCCAAUGGCUGGGUGACAAUGUUGAUUUGGUUCAUUUAUUUCUUUGAAACUCAGUUUUCAAUCGGGAUAAUUAUUUCUCUGUGGCCAGAGACUACUGGUUACCUAUCCAAUUAUCCCCUCUUGUUUGGUAAGAGGACAUGAUUUUUAAAUUCUGAAAGGCAAUGAUUGCAGCUAAGGGAUUACAGAGAGAUUACAGAGAUCACAAAAUGGGACUUCAAGAGAAGCUCCUUUAUCCCCACCUCACCCUUUUAUUCUUCCUUUUCCAGUUCUCCUUCCCAGGUAACCACUGGUCUACUUCCUGUUAUUACAGAUGCAUUUGUAUUUCAUCUAAAUGGAAUCAUCCUGUCUUGCUGAUUACAAAUAAAGUUGCUGUGAAUGUUCAUGACCAGCCUUUGUAUGGACUUACACUUCCAUUUCUCCUGAGUAAACACCCAGCAGACCAUAGGUGUAUCUUGAAUAUUUUAGUAAACUGCCGAAGUUAUCAUGCCCACUAGAUGUAGAUCUUCUACCACCGAAAAUUGUCUUCUCAAGGACCUGGGACAUCUCUUUAAAAUUUAAACAUUUGGGGAGAUGAGAGGGUAAGGGUCUAACUUUUGUGGUCUCCAACUUAUACCACUAUCUGCUAUCAUAAAGAUGGGAGAAGCUUCUUUUCCUCCAGCUAAGUGACAAUCAUAUACUGAGAUGGCCUACCCG